GAGGGUAUAGCUCAGUGGUAGAGUGUGUGCUUAGCAUACACAAGGUCAUGGGUUCAAUCCCCAGUACCGCCA
rnacentral:tRNA from 1 species